AAAGACUGACGCUCAUGCAAGAAAGCGUGGGGAUCAAACAGGAUUAGAUGCCCUGGUAGUCCACGCUGUAAUCGAUGAUCACUCGUGGUUGGCGAUAUACAGUCAGAGACUGAGGGAAACCAUUAAGUGAUCCAUAUGGGGAGUACGGCGGCAACGUUGAAACUCAAAGGAAUCGUCGGGGGCCCGCACAAGCGGAGGAGCAUGUGGCUUAAUUCGAUGAUACGCGAGGAGCCUUCCCUGGGCUUAAAUGCAGAACGACGUUUAGUGAAAGCGGAAUUUCCUUCGGGACGUUUUGCAAGGUGUUGCAUGGUUGUCGUCAGCUCGUGCCGUGAGGUGUCGGGUUAAGUCCCAUAACGACCGCAACCCUUAUCAUUAGUUGCCAUCAGGUAAUGCUGGGAACUCUAAUGAAACUGCCUACGCAAGUAGUGAGGAAGGUGGGGAUGACGUCAAAUCAGCACGGCCCUUAUGUCCAGGGCGACACACGUGCUACAAUGGCCAGUACAGAGGGUUUCAAA
rnacentral:rRNA from 1 species